AUUGAACGCUGGCGGCAGGCUUAACACAUGCAAGUCGAGCGAGUGGCGGACGGGUGAGUAAUGCAUGGGAAUCUGCCUGAUGGAGGGGGAUAACUACUGGAAAAGGUAGCUAAUACCGCAUACCAUCAGAGGUACCCAAAUGGGAUUAGCUAGUAGGUGGGGUAAUGGCUAACCUAGGCGACGAUCCCUAGCUGGUCUGUGAGGAUGAACAGCCAAACGGGAACUGAGACACGGCCCAAACUCCUACGGGAGGCAGCAGUGGGGAAUAUUGCACAAUGGGGGCAAGCCUGAUGCAGCCAUGCCGCGGGUAGGAAGAAGGCCUUCGUGUUUUAAAGCACUUUCAGUGAGGAGGCGUUACUCGCAGAAGAAGCACCGGCUAACUCCGUGCCAGCAGCCGCGGUAAUUC
rnacentral:rRNA from 1 species